rnacentral:rRNA from 1 species
AGUCUGGUGCCAGCAGCCGCGGUAAUACCAGCUCCAAUAGCGUAUAUUAAUGCUGCUGCAGUCAAAACGCUCGUAGUUGAAGUUUGGGGCUAGCACGGCUAGGUCCUCCUCGAAGGAGUGCACCGGUCGGGCGGUUCUGUAAGGGGGAAUGUGGGGGCAGCUCGUUAACUCGGGCUGCUUCAGGGGAGGGGCAACCUGACUCUGGGGAGGGCUUUGGAAAGGCGGGGUGUAAAAGCUCCGACUUGCCAGGGUUCUUCAUCGCUUCCCCAAGUUUACCUUGAAAAAAUUAGAGUGUUCAAAGCAGGGCUUAGGCCUAUUGAAUAAUACAGCAUGGGAUAAUGGAAAAAGACAGUUGUUCUAUUUUGUUGGUUGUGUGGAGCGAUUGUAAUGAUUAAUGGGGACAGUUGGGGUGGUUUGUAUUGCUGCGUCAGAGGUGAAAUUCUUAGAUUGCAGUAAGACAAACUUCUGCGAAGGCAUUCCACAAGGAUGUUUUCGUCAAUCAAGAACGAAAGUUGGGGGAUCGAAGACGAUCAGAUACCGUCGUAGUCUCAACUGUAAACGAUGCCGACUGAGGAUUAGGAAAAGUUUUUUUCACAUGACUCUCCUAGCACUCUACGAGAAAUCAAGAGUCUUUGGGUUCCGGGGGGAGUAUGGUCGCAAGGCUGAAACUUAAAGGAAUUGACGGAAGGGCACCACCAGGCGUGGAGCCUGCGGCUUAAUUUGACCCAACACGGGGAAACUUACCAGGUCCAGACAGCGUAAGGAUUGACAGAUUGAGAGCUCUUUCAUGAUUCGUUGGGUGGUGGUGCAUGGCCGUUCUUAGUUGGUGGUGUGAAUUGUCUGGUUGAUUCCGUUAACGAACGAGACCUUAACCGAACACUAGCAACUACGACUUAUUGCGCAAAGGCGGUGAGGGGCUUUUUUCAGAAGGAUCCGUUCCCUGGAGGAAGACUUCCUUGCCGUUGCAUUGGUAGUAGGAUUAGCUUCUUUUCGGGACUAUUUGUGACAAGCAAAUGGAAGUUUGAGGCAAAAACAGGUCUGUGAUGCCCUUCGACGUUCUGGGCUGCACGCGCGCUACAAUGACAAAGUCAACGAGUUUACAACCUUGACCGAAAGGUCUGGGUAAUCUUAUGAAACUUUGUCGUGAUGGGGAUAGAUGAUUGCAACUAUUCGUCUUGAACGAGGAAUGCCUAGUAAGCGCGAUUCAUCAGAUCGCACUGAUUACGUCCCUGCCCUUUGUACACACCGCCCGUCGCUCCUACCGAUUGAAUGGUCCGGUGAAAACUUCAGAGCGAGGGAUGCUUAGUGCCAGUUCGCUGGUGCUAACACCUUUGCAAAGUUGUUUAAAUCUU